AGAAACAUAAAGAUGAUGUGAUGAUUGUGAGAAAGAGCUGUGAAUCAAGGUGUUGUGGUGACAAGAUUCAGCAGCAACCAAACCAAGACGAGGUGAAACAGAGCUGUCACAACAAGGCUGGUGAGUUGAAGGAGAUAAGGCUGGACCUUGGUGAUAGUGAUUGCAAGUCGGGUUCACCAUUGGUCAAAGGUUGUUGCUCAAGGCCUGAUGCUGAUCCCGUGGUAGCUAGCUUGAAAGUGAAGAGUGAUGGGAGCUGCAGUGAAAGUUCAAGGAAAGGUAAUAACGAAGAGGCAUGUUGUGAGGUGAAAACGGCGUUCCGUUGGCUUGCCGUUGCAGCCGUCGUCGCCGGAAUAUAUCCAAUACUAGCUAAAUCUGUAGCAUCCAUUGCAAGGGCUAGAAUCGACAUCAACAUUCUUGUUGUAAUAACCGGUAAUGUUUUAGCUUCUUUUUUUUUUAAGCUUUUCUUUGCUUCUUUUCUGCUUAGUUAUUUACCCUAAAUUAAGAAGUGCUAUGAUUUAUGAGGAGUGAGUCUCCAAUUUUCUUAUAUGCGAAUCACAAUUCUUACAACAUUAACUAAGGUGAAUAUUUUUUAAAAAAAUGGUUAUAGUAGAUGGUGAAUAUUUUCUUGUGAUUUCAAAGUAGCAUUAAAAAGGCCAAAUGCAGAGGAAAAGAAACACAAAAACUACCGAACAAAACUGCUAUAUGUUGAUCAUUAUAUUCUAAACUGACCCAUCAUAAUGUUAUAUAGACACAUACUUAUAUCUACCAUCUACUAUAACCUCUGUUGAUCAAAAAGGUUAUAGUAGAUGGUAGAUAUAAGUAUGGGUCUAUAUAACAUUGUGAUGGGUCAAUUUAGAAUAUAAUGGUCAACAUAUAGAAGUUCUGUUCGGUAGUUUUUGUGUUUCUUUUCCUCUGCAUUUGGCAUUUUUAAUGGUACUUUGAAAUCACAAGAAAAGAAGAAAAGAAAAAGAAAAAAUGAAAGCUGCUUUCUUGCAACUUUUGUUUUUCGCUAAAACCAUUUUUAAAAUAUAGUUUCUUCUAUUUCUAAAAAGGCAUAAUGGACGUUAGAUUAGCAAUAAUUGCUCAUUCUGAAGCUAAAAUGUUUAAAAGUCAAAUAAUUACUCAAAAUAUGAAUUUAAGGCUUUAAAGCUAAUAAUACUCUUCUUUGUAUCAAACAGUGGGAGCAACACUCGGUAUGAGAGAUUACACAGAAGCUGCAGCAGUUGUCUUCUUAUUCACAAUAGCUGAAUGGCUCCAGUCUAGGGCUAGCUAUAGGGUGUUUGCUUCCACCAUUUUCCUUUUCUUGUCAUGCAAGUUUCCAAAAAUACUGUGAUUGAUUGAUUCAAGCAUUGGUUUUACUGUAAAUAAAAUUUCCAGGCAAGCGCGGUGAUGCAGUCACUGAUGAGUCUAGCUCCACAGAAGGCAGUGAUAGCAGAGACUGGAGAAGAAGUUGAAGUUGAUGAGCUCAAAAUCAACACUGUCAUAGCUGUCAAAGCUGGUGAAACCAUACCUAUUGAUGGAGUUGUUGUGGAUGGAAACUGUGAGGUUGAUGAGAAAACCUUGACUGGUGAAGCAUUCCCUGUGCCUAAACUGAGAGAUUCAACUGUUUGGGCUGGAACCAUCAAUCUAAAUGGUUACAUAACUGUGAAAACCACUGCUCUAGCUGAGGAUUGUGUGGUUGCUAAGAUGGCAAAGCUAGUGGAAGAAUCUCAGAACAGCAAAACAGAAACUCAGAGAUUUAUAGAUGAAUGUUCUAAGUACUAUACUCCAGGUUAGUAAGCAAAUCAGAAACUGAUUUCAAGUUCUUGAUGUUCUUGAUUGAGACCUCAUAUUCUCUUGCCUUGCAUGCAGCGAUCAUCCUCAUAUCGCUCUGUUUUGUGGUUAUCCCAUUCGCAUUAAAGGUUCACAACAUGAAACAUUGGCUGCACUUGGCCCUAGUUGUGCUAGUAAGUGCUUGUCCUUGUGGCCUUAUUCUCUCAACACCAGUAGCCAGUUUCUGUGCCCUCACUAAAGCAGCAACAUCAGGACUUCUGAUCAAAGAAGCUGAUUAUCUUGAGACCUUAGCCAAGAUCAAAACCGUUGCUUUUGACAAAACUGGGACCAUCACUAGAGGCGAGUUCAUAGUCAUGGAUUUCAAGUCACUCUCCAGAGAUAUAAGCCUGCACAGGUUGCUUUACUGGUGAGAAACAUCUAAUUCUCAUCUUUCAACCACUUUUCUUAACACUUUGUUUUAUUAAAACUUAUUUAGAACAUAUUACAUCGUUGGCAAGUAAGACAUAACGAAAAUGAAACACUAAUGGUCUUUUCCACACCUGGAGACCACCGAGGACAAACAUUAUUAUGACACGUUAGCGAUACCAAACUGAUCUUGUUUCAAAAUAAAUUAGAGUAGAUGUUCCCAGUCCAACAAUAUCAGACGGACUUUUAAUACUUUUAUCGGACACAUGACAAUAAUUCUCAUAGUCUAGAUAGAUCUUCUUCUUCAGUUGCCUAGAUAUUUUAACCACUUUAGUGAGAUACUUUGUGAAUUUUCCUGAGAGUUUUGGAAUGUGACUUCUGUUAGGGUAUCAAGCGUGGAGAGCAAGUCAAGCCAUCCAAUGGCUGCUGCACUUCUGGACUAUGCAAAAUCUGUCUCUGUUGAACCUAAGCCUGAAUCUGUUGAAGACUACCAAAACUUUCCAGGAGAAGGCAUUUUUGGGAAGAUUGAUGGCAAAGAAGUCUAUAUUGGGAACAAAAGAAUUGCUUCCAGAGCUGGGUGUUCAUCAGGUAAUGCGAUGUUUUAGAUCAUUGAGGUUUUGGGUUCUUGUUUACUCUCUAAAGGUUUUUGGUUUUGGUGUAUGUGCACAGUUCCAGAUAUAGAUGUUGAUACUAAAGGAGGAAAGACGGUUGGAUACGUCUAUCUUGGAGAGACACUAGCCGGAGUUUUCAACCUCUCGGAUGCUUGUAGAUCAGGUGUAGCUCAAGCGAUGAAAGAACUCAAAUCUAUGGGAAUCAAAACUGCAAUGUUAACCGGAGAUAACCAAGCUUCAGCAAUGCAUGCUCAAGAACAGCUAGGUAACGUUAUGGACGUUGUUCAUGCGGAGCUUCUCCCUGAAGGCAAGUCCCAAAUCAUCAAAGAGUUUAAGAGAGAAGGUCCAACGGCUAUGGUGGGAGACGGUUUGAAUGACGCACCAGCUUUGGCAACAGCUGACAUUGGCAUCUCGAUGGGUGUUUCCGGCUCUGCGCUUGCUACAGAGACCGGUCACAUAAUCUUGAUGUCUAAUGACAUCAGGAGGAUACCGCAAGCGAUAAGGCUUGCGCGUAGGGGUAAAAGAAAAGUGGUGGAGAAUGUGGUUUUGUCUAUUACUAUGAAAGGAGCGAUUCUUGCUUUGGCUUUUGCUGGUCAUCCUUUGAUUUGGGCGGCUGUGCUUGCGGACGUGGGGACUUGUUUGCUUGUGAUCCUUAAUAGCAUGUUGUUGCUUCGAGAUGAGCACGUUCCUGGAGGGAAAUGUCAUAGGGCGGAGAAAGGUGAAGGUGAUGUUGUUGGAGACAUGGAAGCAGGUUUGUUACCGAAGCAUUGCACGUCAGGCUGUUGUGGAAAGGAGAAGCAAGAGGUAGUGAUGAAACCGGCUAAAACUAGUUCGGGACAUGGGCACUCUGGUUGUUGUGACAAGAAACAUAAAGAUGAUGUGAUGAUUGUGAGAAAGAGCUGUGAAUCAAGGUGUUGUGGUGACAAGAUUCAGCAGCAACCAAACCAAGACGAGGUGAAACAGAGCUGUCACAACAAGGCUGGUGAGUUGAAGGAGAUAAGGCUGGACCUUGGUGAUAGUGAUUGCAAGUCGGGUUCACCAUUGGUCAAAGGUUGUUGCUCAAGGCCUGAUGCUGAUCCCGUGGUAGCUAGCUUGAAAGUGAAGAGUGAUGGGAGCUGCAGUGAAAGUUCAAGGAAAGGUAAUAACGAAGAGGCA
rnacentral:lncRNA from 1 species